rnacentral:rRNA from 1 species
AAAGGAGCUUGCUUCUUUUGGAUGAGUUGCGAACGGGUGAGUAACGCGUAGGUAACCUGCCUUGUAGCGGGGGAUAACUAUUGGAAACGAUAGCUAAUACCGCAUAACAGCUUUUGACACAUGUUAGAAGCUUGAAAGAUGCAAUUGCAUCACUACGAGAUGGACCUGCGUUGUAUUAGCUAGUAGGUAGGGUAACGGCCUACCUAGGCGACGAUACAUAGCCGACCUGAGAGGGUGAUCGGCCACACUGGGACUGAGACACGGCCCAGACUCCUACGGGAGGCAGCAGUAGGGAAUCUUCGGCAAUGGGGGCAACCCUGACCGAGCAACGCCGCGUGAGUGAAGAAGGUUUUCGGAUCGUAAAGCUCUGUUGUAAGAGA